AAUUAGACAUGUGUUUAUUUUAAUUGUCCAUAAAUGUUGAUUUGACAUGGUGUUCUGGUUUUGACAUGUGUUUAUUUUAAUUGUCCAUAAAUGUUGAUUCAAUAUUUCGUUUAUAUUUUUUGUAUGUUUCUGCCCAUAUCUCCUCCAACCAAAAUGAAGUUGGGCGCAAGUUAGGGAGGCAGGUAGCCUAGUGGUUAUAGCUUUGGGGUGGUAACCCACUAGUUAGGGAGGCAGGUAGCCUAGCGGUUAGAGCUUUGGGGUGGUAACCCACUAGUUAGGGAGGCAGGUAGCCUAGCGGUUAGAGCUUUGGGGUGGUAACCCACUAGUUAGGGAGGCAGUUAGCCUAGCGGUUAGUGCUUUGGGGUGGUAACCCACUAGUUAGGGAGGCAGGUAGCCUAGCGGUUAGAGCUUUGGGGUGGUAACCCAAAAGUUAGGGAGGCAUGUAGCCUAGCGGUUAGAGCUUUGGGGUGGUAACCCACUAGUUAGGGAGGCAGGUAGCCUAGCGGUUAGAGCUUUGGGGUGGUAACCCACUAGUUAGGAAGGCAGGUAGCCUAGCGGUUAGAGCUUUGGGGUGGUAACCCACUAGUUAGGAAGGCAGGUAGCCUAGCGGUUAGAGCUUUGGGGUGGUAACCCACUAGUUAGGAAGGCAGGUAGCCUAGCGGUUAGAGCUUUGGGGUGGUAACCCACUAGUUAGGGAGACAGGUAGCCUAGCGGUUAGAGCUUUGGGGUGGUAACCCACUAGUUAGGGAGGCAGUUAGCCUAGCGGUUAGUGCUUUGGGGUGGUAACCCACUAGUUAGGGAGGCAGGUAGCCUAGCGGUUAGAGCUUUGGGGUGGUAACCCAAAAGUUAGGGAGGCAGGUAGCCUAGCGGUUAGAGCUUUGGGGUGGUAACCCACUAGUUAGGGAGGCAGGUAGCCUAGCGGUUAGAGCUUUGGGGUGGUAACCCACUAGUUAGGGAGGCAGGUAGCCUAGCGGUUAGAGCUUUGGGGUGGUAACUCAAAAGUUAGGGAGGCAGGUAGCCUAGCGGUUAGAGCUUUGGGGUGGUAACCCACUAGUUAGGGAGGCAGGUAGCCUAGCGGUUAGAGCUUUGGGGUGGUAACCCACUAGUUAGGGAGGCAGGUAGCCUAGCGGUUAGAGCUUUGGGGUGGUAACCCACUAGUUAGGGAGGCAGGUAGCCUAGCGGUUAGAGCUUUG